rnacentral:lncRNA from 1 species
UUCAACUCAAUUAUUAUUAUUAUUAUUAUUAUUAUUAUUAUUAACCUCAACCCAGUUAUACUGUUUGACAAGUUUUUGUAAAUUUAUAUUUAAAAUCAAAAUCAACACACUUUAAUCCCUCACUUUGAUCUCUCUGUCUCCCACUCAUCAAGAAUCCCACUUCCAAGUUCCAACCCCACAUUUGACCUUUUCAUGCCUUUAUUGAUCAUUAACCCUUCAGUUUAGAGUCAAAAAGCGAAAUGAGUGUGUCUCCGACACCCUUUGCAUAAUUAAAGCUUCGGACCGGAGGAAAAAACUGAAUUGGGGUUUCUUUUCCAUGUGUUUUCAUGGUCCUCUCAGACGCUACUCAUUUAAUUUCCUCUUGCACUGUAUAUCCCAAUUUUCAGAAUUUAUACUAAUUAAAUUUUUGCCUGUACUUUCAGCUACAGGACUCACCAACCCAGGACAAAUAAAUAAAUAAAAAUAUAUAUCACAUGAAUACUCUUUCCUUGUUCUAUUCUUUCUUUAUCUAUGAACUUUUGAAUGGCUAUUUUUCCUCUUUUGACACUUUCCCUCAUUACGUUUAAGGAAAUACGACUAAAAAGAUCUAAAAUGACCCUUAAGUAUGAUUCUCAUCUAAACACAAUAAGAACCGAUUCGGCAUGACUUUUAAAAAGUCAAAACAUAGUCGAACCCAACAACAAUAUUUAGUGGGAGCGAGACAGGAUUAUGUAAAAUUUAUGGGUUAAAAACUUAAAAUUACAGACUAAAAAAUUAUUUGACUACUUUGUAAAUGUCAAAUAUUAAGGACCAAUUGCACAAACUGAGCACUUAAUGUGUCCGUUCCUAAGUCAAAAGAACCUUUUAAGACUUAAAAGUUGCUUUUUGACCCAUUAAACUAAUUUUAUAAAAGUGCUUCUUUUAAUUAGAAGAAUUUUCGGAGAAUACUUGUCUAA